rnacentral:misc_RNA from 1 species
AUGAAAAGAAGUAUGGUGGUAGAGCACUACUUGGCCACGAUCAGAAUAUUCAAAGAACCAUUAGUAGAAGAGCUGAUGGAAUGAGAUUUUGCUUGGAAGUGCCUCUGCCAAGUAGAAGUGCUCAGGUCUACAAGUUGACCCGAAUUCUAAGAGCAUGAUCACUCUAGUAAUCAAAGUGCCUCAUAUGAUGGACACAAAAGGAAAGGUUCUACAUUGCCCUAUACUGAUCAAUAUUG